rnacentral:rRNA from 1 species
UACGUAGGGGGCAAGCGUUAUCCGGAUUUACUGGGUGUAAAGGGAGCGUAGGCGGCAGUGCAAGUCAGAAGUGAAAGCCCGGGGCUCAACUCCGGGUCUGCUUUUGAAACUGUACAGCUUGAUUGCAGGAGAGGCAAGUGGAAUUCCUAGUGUAGCGGUGAAAUGCGUAGAUAUUAGGAGGAACACCAGUGGCGAAGGCGGCUUGCUGGACUGUAAAUGACGCUGAGGCUCGAAAGCGUGGGGAGCAA